rnacentral:rRNA from 1 species
AUGCCUACCUAUUUUUGGUACAUACUACAUCUGCCUAUCACACCAUGUUCUUACAUCAAACUACUAUUCUUGUGUAUCCUUCAUCUAUCGCUUAUGAUGAGACAGUCACGCCCGUGGGUUAUUUAG